rnacentral:tRNA from 1 species
GCCAGCGUAGCUCAAUGGUAGAGCAACGGUUUUGUAAACCGUAGGUUGUCGGUCCGAGUCCGACCGCUGGCU